UUAAGCGACUAAGCGUACACGGUGGAUGCCCUGGCAGUCAGAGGCGAUGAAGGACGUGCUAAUCUGCGAAAAGCGCCGGCGAGGUGAUAUGAACCCUUGACCCGGCGAUGUCCGAAUGGGGAAACCCAGUGCAAUCCGUUGCACUAUCGUUAACUGAAUACAUAGGUUAACGAGGCGAACCGGGGGAACUGAAACAUCUAAGUACCCCGAGGAAAAGAAAUCAACCGAGAUUCCCCCAGUAGCGGCGAGCGAACGGGGAGCAGCCCGGAGUCUGAAUCAGCUUGUGUGUUAGUGGAACGGUCUGGAAAGUCCGACGGUACAGGGUGAUAGUCCCGUACACGAAAGCACACUUGCUGUGAACUCGAAGAGUAGGGCGGGACACGUGGUAUCCUGUCUGAAUAUGGGGGGACCAUCCUCCAAGGCUAAAUACUCCUGACUGACCGAUAGUGAACCAGUACCGUGAGGGAAAGGCGAAAAGAACCCCGGCGAGGGGAGUGAAAAAGAACCUGAAACCGUGUACGUACAAGCAGUGGGAGCCUCUUUAUGGGGUGACUGCGUACCUUUUGUAUAAUGGGUCAGCGACUUAUAUUCUGUAGCAAGGUUAACCGUAUAGGGGAGCCGAAGGGAAACCGAGUCUUAACUGGGCGUUAAGUUGCAGGGUAUAGACCCGAAACCCGGUGAUCUAGCCAUGGGCAGGUUGAAGGUUGGGUAACACUAACUGGAGGACCGAACCGACUAAUGUUGAAAAAUUAGCGGAUGACCUGUGGCUGGGGGUGAAAGGCCAAUCAAACCGGGAGAUAGCUGGUUCUCCCCGAAAGCUAUUUAGGUAGCGCCUCGUGAACUCAUCUUCGGGGGUAGAGCACUGUUUCGGCUAGGGGGCCAUCCCGGCUUACCAACCCGAUGCAAACUACGAAUACCGAAGAAUGUUAUCACGGGAGACACACGGCGGGUGCUAACGUCCGUCGUGAAGAGGGAAACAACCCAGACCGCCAGCUAAGGUCCCAAAGUCAUGGUUAAGUGGGAAACGAUGUGGGAAGGCACAGACAGCCAGGAUGUUGGCUUAGAAGCAGCCAUCAUUUAAAGAAAGCGUAAUAGCUCACUGGUCGAGUCGGCCUGCGCGGAAGAUGUAACGGGGCUAAACCAUGCACCGAAGCUGCGGCAGCGACGCUUAUGCGUUGUUGGGUAGGGGAGCGUUCUGUAAGCCGUUGAAGGUGUGCUGUGAGGCAUGCUGGAGGUAUCAGAAGUGCGAAUGCUGACAUAAGUAACGAUAAAGCGGGUGAAAAGCCCGCUCGCCGGAAGACCAAGGGUUCCUGUCCAACGUUAAUCGGGGCAGGGUGAGUCGACCCCUAAGGCGAGGCCGAAAGGCGUAGUCGAUGGGAAACAGGUUAAUAUUCCUGUACUUGGUGUUACUGCGAAGGGGGGACGGAGAAGGCUAUGUCAGCCGGGCGACGGUUGUCCCGGUUUAAGCAUGUAGGCGGAGGUUCCAGGUAAAUCCGGUACCUUAUUAACGCUGAGGUGUGAUGACGAGGCACUACGGUGCUGAAGUGAUAAAUGCCCUGCUUCCAGGAAAAGCCUCUAAGCAUCAGGUAACACGAAAUCGUACCCCAAACCGACACAGGUGGUCAGGUAGAGAAUACCAAGGCGCUUGAGAGAACUCGGGUGAAGGAACUAGGCAAAAUGGUGCCGUAACUUCGGGAGAAGGCACGCUGAUGUGUAGGUGAAGCCCCUGCGGGCGGAGCUGAAAUCAGUCGAAGAUACCAGCUGGCUGCAACUGUUUAUUAAAAACACAGCACUGUGCAAACACGAAAGUGGACGUAUACGGUGUGACGCCUGCCCGGUGCCGGAAGGUUAAUUGAUGGGGUUAGCGGCAACGCGAAGCUCUUGAUCGAAGCCCCGGUAAACGGCGGCCGUAACUAUAACGGUCCUAAGGUAGCGAAAUUCCUUGUCGGGUAAGUUCCGACCUGCACGAAUGGCGUAAUGAUGGCCAGGCUGUCUCCACCCGAGACUCAGUGAAAUUGAACUCGCUGUGAAGAUGCAGUGUACCCGCGGCAAGACGGAAAGACCCCGUGAACCUUUACUAUAGCUUGACACUGAACACUGGUCCUUGAUGUGUAGGAUAGGUGGGAGGCUUUGAAGCGUGGACGCCAGUCUGCGUGGAGCCAACCUUGAAAUACCACCCUUUAAUGGCUGGUGUUCUAACGUAGACCCGUAAUCCGGGUUGCGGACAGUGUCUGGUGGGUAGUUUGACUGGGGCGGUCUCCUCCCAAAGAGUAACGGAGGAGCACGAAGGUUGGCUAAUCCUGGUCGGACAUCAGGAGGUUAGUGCAAUGGCAUAAGCCAGCUUGACUGCGAGCGUGACGGCGCGAGCAGGUGCGAAAGCAGGUCAUAGUGAUCCGGUGGUUCUGAAUGGAAGGGCCAUCGCUCAACGGAUAAAAGGUACUCCGGGGAUAACAGGCUGAUACCGCCCAAGAGUUCAUAUCGACGGCGGUGUUUGGCACCUCGAUGUCGGCUCAUCACAUCCUGGGGCUGAAGUAGGUCCCAAGGGUAUGGCUGUUCGCCAUUUAAAGUGGUACGCGAGCUGGGUUUAGAACGUCGUGAGACAGUUCGGUCCCUAUCUGCCGUGGGCGCUGGAGAAUUGAGGGGGGCUGCUCCUAGUACGAGAGGACCGGAGUGGACGCAUCACUGGUGUUCGGGUUGUCAUGCCAAUGGCACUGCCCGGUAGCUAAAUGCGGAAGAGAUAAGUGCUGAAAGCAUCUAAGCACGAAACUUGCCCCGAGAUGAGUUCUCCCUGAGACUUUAAGUCUCCUGAAGGAACGUUGAAGACGACGACGUUGAUAGGUCGGGUGUGUAAGCGCAGCGAUGCGUUGAGCUAACCGAUACUAAUGAACCGUGAGGCUUAACCU
rnacentral:rRNA from 1 species